rnacentral:rRNA from 1 species
AAGUAGCAAGGUUAAGCACUUAAGGUGUGGAGCCGUAGCGAAAGCGAGUCUUAAAUGGGCGAUUAAGUUACUUGGCGUAGACCCGAAACCGGGCGACCUAUCCAUGAGCAGGUUGAAGCGAAAGUAAAAUUUCGUGGAGGACCGAACCCACGAGCGUUGAAAAGCUCGGGGAUGACUUGUGGAUAGCGGUGAAAUUCCAAUCGAGCCCGGAGAUAGCUGGUUCUCCCCGAAAUAGCUUUAGGGCUAGCCUCAAGUGAUGAUUAUUGGAGGUAGAGCACUGUUUGGACGAGGGGCCCAUCCCGGGUUACCGAAUUCAGACAAACUCCGAAUGCCAUAGAUGUGAUGUAUGGGAGUCAGACAGUGGGUGAUAAGGUCCAUUGUCGAGAGGGAAACAACCCAGACCACCAGCUAAGGUCCCAAAAUAUAUGUUAAGUGGAAAAGGAUGUGGCGUUGCCCAGACAACCAGGAUGUUGGCUUAGAAGCAGCCAUCAUUUAAAGAGUGCGUAAUAGCUCACUAGUCGAGUGACCCUGCGCCGAAAAUGUACCGGGGCUAAAACAAUUUACCGAAGCUGU